rnacentral:rRNA from 1 species
UACGGAGGGGGCAAGCGUUAUCCGGAAUUAUUGGGCGUAAAGCGUGCGCAGGUGGCUCUUCAAGUCUGUCGUCAAAGACCGGGGCUUAACUUCGGAAAGGCAGUGGAAACUGAACAGCUAGAGUAUGGUAGGGGCAGAGGGAAUUCCUGGUGUAGCGGUGAAAUGCGUAGAGAUCAGGAAGAACAUCGGUGGCGAAGGCGCUCUGCUGGACCAUAACUGACACUCAGGGACGAAAGCUAGGGGAGCGAAUGGG